rnacentral:rRNA from 1 species
CCUACGGGCGGCAGCAGUGAGGAAUAUUGGUCAAUGGACGGGAGUCUGAACCAGCCACGUCGCGUGAAGGAUGACUGCUCUAUGGGUUGUAAACUUCUUUUAUAUGGGAGUAAAAUGUUUCACGUGUGGGAUUUUGUAUGUACCAUAUGAAUAAGCAUCGGCUAACUCCGUGCCAGCAGCCGUGGUAAUACGGGGGAUGCAAGCGUUAUCCGGAUUGAUUGGGUUUAAAGGGUGCGUAGGCUGGGAGGUAAGUCAGCGGUGAAAUGCCCCCGCUCAACGGGGUGAAGUGCCAUUGAUACUGGCGUGCUGGAGUGCGGAUGCGGAGGGAGGAAUGUGUGGUGUAGCGGUGAAAUGCAUAGAUAUCACACAGAACACCGAUUGCGAAGGCAGCUCACGAGUCCGCAAUUGACGCUGAUGCACGAAAGCGUGGGUAUCAAACAGGAUUAGAUACCCCUGUAGUC